CUUUAAAACCGGAGCCUGCAGUGCCAUCUGGCACAACACCGUUCUGCUCAUGCACAGACCCAUUCCCAACUGCCUGUGGCUACCAUCGCUUCUAUUCAAAAGGUCUCUUUCCUGAACCAUCUGCUCCUCCCCCUGCAUUCGUCAGAAGAUGUUGCUCAAGCUGCCACCAUCCUCUUAGGCCCCUUGUCUUACCUGGCUCCCAUUUCAUCCGCUCAAGAACCAUCUGUGGCUGAUGUGGACUCGAGAACAGAGCCCAGAGCUUUCAAGCCUCCCCGACAUCUGAACCCCAGGACUAAUGAAAAAACGUAAUGUAAAUCAGCUUGGAUCCAGGACAGAUAAGCUGUAGAAACACUGUCUGCACUUCAGGAGCAUAUCUUCAUAAAGAUAUAUGGAAAUAUAGACAAAAUCGUAAAGAUAAACUUCAAAUGUUACUUCUACUAUGUGUUUUCUUAGUACGUUUAAACUGUUGUAAAUAAGAUAAAGACGAUUUAUUUGUGUUGAUGCAAAGAAUCCACAACCAACGUAUAAAUGAAAAUUGAGAAUUAAAGUUCAUCCUGAUUACACGUCAGACUAAAGGAGUAAAGGAUUUCUUGGUAAUUUAUGCUGCCAUACCUUUUGAAACAUUAAGAAUUUUUGCCAAAGAAUUCUUAACUUUUUAUUCUGAAAGACUUUAAAAUUUAUAGAAGAAGCACAAGAAGCCUCGAAAGUAUCCCAUGUACCCUCAGCAAAUUCACUAACUGAAAACACUUCACCCCAUUUACUUAUUAUCUCUUUCGUGUGAUUUCUGAACCAUUUGAAAGUGAAUUGUUGACAUCAUACGCUUUACUCCUAAAUACUUCAGAGUAUGUUUCCUAACAACAACAUGAUUAUCAAAUUGAAGAAAUUUAAUACUGAUAUAUUAUUAUUGUCACAUUCAGAUUUCACCAAUUUUCCCAGUAAUACUUUUAUGGAAAACGUUCCCCCUGAUCCACAUUGCAUUUAGUUUUCAUGUCUAUUUUCUUUGUCUUGAAUGACAUUAUCAUUUUCCAAAAGUACAGGCCCG
rnacentral:lncRNA from 1 species